UACAGAGGUCCCAAGCGUUGUUCGGAUUUACUGGGCGUAAAGGGUGCGCAGGCGGUCGGAUAAGUCGGGUGUGAAAUCCCAAAGCUUAACUUUGGAACUGCGCCCGAAACUAUCUGGCUUGAGGAUUGGAGAGGAGACUGGAAUUUCCGGUGUAGCGGUGAAAUGCGUAGAUAUCGGAAGGAACACCAACGGCGAAGGCAGGUCUCUGGACAGUUCCUGACGCUCAUGCACGAAAGCCAGGGGAGCAAACGGG
rnacentral:rRNA from 1 species